GUUUUCUAAUACAUUGAAUUACUAAUGGGGGUAUGCUUAUCAUGUACUAUCUGAUAAAAUUAAGUAAAAGAGAGGAAAAAGAUACCAGAGGAACAUUCACACUCAGAAGUUGAAAGUGGCAACGUCAUGCUAAAAACGAAAAUGACCAACAGACAAACAAUAGUUAAAAAAACACAACAUGAAGGACUAAACAACAUUAACCCCACUAAAACCGAGGAUAAGCUUAGGUGCUCUAAAAGGGUAGGCAAAUUCUGUUCCACAAAUGGCACCUGUCGUGAUGCUCAUAUGUUACUAUAAAUCUGGUGAUAAUUUAAAUUGGGUAAGAAGAUGUGGUAUGAUUGCCAGUGAGACAACCAGAGACCAAAUAACAUAGAAGUAAACCACUGCAGGACACUGUAUAUGUACAGCCGUCAAAAAGGAGAAAAAAAACAUACCACAUAGUAAUGAAAGGCCCUAAUCUGACAAAAGCAAAACAAUUCAAACGAGAAAACUAACAACCUGUUUUAUGUACAAAAAAAAAAUAAAAAAAAAAUUAUGAUAUACAGCAACAUAUGACAACAAAUGAAGUUGGGACAGACACCUACAGAAUGUGGCAGGGUUAGACAUAUUUACUGGUGCUUAACUCUUUUCCUAACCUGUGACAGAAC
rnacentral:lncRNA from 1 species